CGUAGGUGAACCUGCGGAGGGAUCAUUACUGAGUUAUCUAAACUCCCAACCCUUUGUGAACCUUACCGUCGUUGCCUCGGCGGGCUGUACUUACCCUGUAGCUACCCUGUAGCUACCCGGUAGGUGCGCUCCAAGCCCGCCGGUGGACCACUAAAUUCUAUUUUACUACUGUAUCUCUGAAUGCUUCAACUUAAUAAGUUAAAACUUUCAACAACGGAUCUCUUGGUUCUGGCAUCGAUGAAGAACGCAGCGAAAUGCGAUAAGUAAUGUGAAUUGCAGAAUUCAGUGAAUCAUCGAAUCUUUGAACGCACAUUGCGCCCAUUAGUAUUCUAGUGGGCAUGCCUAUUCGAGCGUCAUUUCAACCCUUAAGCCUAGUUGCUUAGUGUUGGGAAUCUGCCCUGUAUUUAUAGGGCAGUUCCUUAAAGUGAUCGGCGGAGUUAGGGCAUACUCUAAGCGUAGUAAUAUUCUUCUCGCUUCUGUAGUUGUCCUGGCGGCUUGCCGUUAAACCCCUAUAUUUC
rnacentral:rRNA from 1 species